UACAGAGGUCUCAAGCGUUUGUUCGGAUUCAUUGGGCGUAAAGGGCGUGUAGGCGGUCAAGUAAGUGGGAUGUGAAAUCCCUCGGCUCACCCGAGGACCUGCAUCCCAAACUGCUUGGCUUGAGUAUGGGAGAGGAUGAGGGAAUUCCGUGGUGUAGCGGUGAAAUGCGUAGAUAGUCAGGGAGGAACACCGGUGGCGGCAAAGGCGCUCAUCUGGCCCAAUACUG
rnacentral:rRNA from 1 species